UACGUAGGGUGCGAGCGUUGUCCGGAAUUAUUGGGCGUAAAGAGCUUGUAGGUGGUUUGUCGCGUCUGCUGUGAAAAUCCGAGGCUCAACCUCGGACUUGCAGUGGGUACGGGCAGACUAGAGUGUGGUAGGGGAGACUGGAAUUCCUGGGUGUAGCGGUGGAAUGCGCAGAUAUCAGGAGGAACACCGAUGGCGAAGGCAGGUCUCUGGGCCGAUACUGACGCUGAGGAGCGAAAGCGUGGGGAGCAAACAGG
rnacentral:rRNA from 1 species